UGGUCUACCAGUGUUCUAAGAGACUUUAGUAAACUAGUGUCUGUCUACCGUUGGUGUGUAUUUUACAGCUGUAUCAUUAAGGGAUGCAGUUUGUACUCCCUAAGCCUUUCAAAUCUAACGGAGUCUUCUCUAUCGGUUGUUUCUCUGUUAGGGUCCCUUCUGAACGAUGCUGCAGUGUGCUCUCCCCAGGGUUAUUAGGUCUACCUUAGCCCUGUGUAUUACCCACUGUCCUCGGUGUCUGGCAAAAGCAAGUGAAGGAGGGCUUUGCUUUGUCACAUACUCUGAGGGUAUAUAGCUCAUGACAGUCAGGGGAAAGUGGCGGAGAGAGUGGUUCCCUGGGGCAGCAGGCGUGGCACAGGGCUGCUUACUGUCCGUCCGUCUGCAGCCAGGAAGCUCAGAGAGCUUUCUCCUUCCUUUUUAUUCAGACCAGGGACUAUAGCCCACAUGCCACCCAAAUUCAAUGUGGGUAUUCCUGAAGCUCCUCUCGGGAGACACCCUCACAGACAAGCCCUGAGGUUUUAUCUCCUGGCUGAUUCUGAAUCCUGCCAAGCUGACUCUGAACAGCAACCCUUCUCUACUUCCCGUUAACUUUCCAUCUCCUGAUGUUCGAGAAAUGUCUCACAGAGCACAUCUGGGCGUCAGUGUUAGGCUACAGAAUGGCAAGUUUGGGGUGCCGAAAGGUCUGGCUUAUGAAAUUGCAACAGAUAGCCCCGGCACUCUCCAGUCCUCUCACCUCAGUCUCCUCACAGGCUUUCUUCCCUCACACCCAUGCCAUUCAAUAUGACGUAUUUAUCGUGUACCAUAACGCUUAGCGUCUGACAGCACUCUGUACAGAUUUGCUCAGUAAAUGAAUGUGCUAAGACAACAUUACUCAGUCCCAGUGGCAUGAAUGUGUUUGUAGUCCCAGCUACCUGGGAGGCUGGGACUGACUGGAGGAUCUUUUGAGCCUGGGAGUUCAAGGCCUGUGUAGGUAACAAAGGGGACACUGUCUCAAAAAGGAACAAACACACACACACACACACACACACACACACACACACACACACAUACACACCAAAAUCAAGCCCCCCCCUCCAAAAAAAAAAAAGGCAAGACAGAGUGUGAAACUUCAGUAGGAAAACAUCAGCUCUCUCAGAGCUGUCACUUCUGGUGCUCGUUCUGUAUUCCAAACCUCUUCUUCACACAUCAUCUCUCUGGUUUCCUUUGCAGAUCCAAAGCUCUCUUGCCUUGCCCUGGGUUGACCUUCUGAUUGUCUUGUGAAUAGGGCAGACUUCCCUCUGCUUCAGGACUCUCCAUCCACUCUUCUCAUAUGUGUGCAUAGCUCACUUCUUGUUUUAGUAUCACUGUUGCUUGCUUCCCCCCCCCCAACCCCCCACCCCACUCCCCCCUGCUUUGAGACAGGGUAUCACUAUACCGCCUUGCCUUGCCUGGAACUCGAUAUAUGGGCCAGACUAGCCUUGACCUCCUGCAGAUCUGCCCCUCUGUGUUCAGAGCACUGGCCUCACAGCGCCCUUCUUGGUAUCAUUCAGGUCUCUGCUUAUAGGUCAGUUUCUCAGAGAGCCUCCCGAUCUUCUCGUGCGAAACUGCAUUUGACUUCUCUUUGCACAUCGUGAUCUCCUGAAGGAAACAAAAAAGCAGCUUGAUUACCCCGAGUGCCUCCCUCCGCUACACAGUUAUCGUGUGUAGAAUCGCACUAGAAUGACAGCAGUAAGGAGAGAACAUUUUCCAAAGAGCUGUAGUAGACCCUGGUUAACUGGAGUCUGGACCACAUUCUAACUCACAGGUAUAGCUUUGGACAAGUUCAAGCAAGUUCAGGUGAACUUCGCAACUCUCAGGCAAAGAGCUACUUGCCUUGACUGCUGAACAAGGAGGGUGAGCCUCAGAGAAGACUUCGCCCGGAGCAUCUUUCUUCCUUUAAAAAAAAGGGGUAUGUGUGCUGUAUUGUGUUUCCAUGUGGGUUGUGUGUAUUGUAUGUGUUGUGUGUGUUGUAUGUGUUUCCAUGUGUGUUGUACAUGUUUUCAUGUGUGUUGUAUAUUUUCAUGUGUUCUGUAUGUGUGCUUUCAUGUGUGUUGUGUGUUUUCAUGUGUGUUAUGUAUGUUGUAUGUGUUUUCAUGUGUGUCAUGUGUGUUUUCAUGUGUUUUGUGUUUUCAUGUGUGUUGUGUGUUGCAUGUAUGCUUUCAUGUACAUUGUGUUUUCAUGUGUAUUGUAUGUGUUUUCACGUGUGUCAUGUGUUUUCAUAUGUUGUAUGUAUUUCAUGUGUUGUGUUUUCAUGUGUGUUGCAUGUGUGCUUUCAAGUACAUUGUGUUUUCAUAAGUGUUGUAUGUAUUUUCAUGUGUGUUUUGUGUUUUCAUGUGUGUGGUAUGUGUGCUUUCAUGUGUGUUGUGUGUCUUGUAUGUGUGCUUUCAUGUGCAUUGUGUUUUCAUGUGUGUUGUGUGUGCUUUCAUGUGUGUUUUCACAUGUGUGAGUUGGGGCACACAUAUCAUAGUGAUUGCAGGUGUCUCACUUUCUACCUCAUUUGAGACAGGGUCUCUUGUUUAUCACUUUAUAGUUAGUCUAAAUGGCCCAUGAGUCUCCCCAGGGACUCUUCUAUCUCCGCCUUCCAUCUGUCUGUGGGGCGCUGGGAUUGUACCUGGCUUUACAUGGGCUUCAGGUCCUCGUGCUCAAGUGCUUGACCCUCUAAGCCAUCUCCCCAGACUCAAGGGCAUCUUCAAAAGAUGAUCAGCAGGGCUGGAGAAAUGGCUCAGCGGUUAAGAGCUCCGACUGCUCUUCCAGAGGUCCUGAGUUCAAUUCCCAGCAACCACAUAGUGGCUCACAACCAUCUGUAAUGAGAUCUGGUGUGUCUGAAGACAGCUACAGUGUACUCGUAUACAAUAAAUAAAUAAAUAAAUAAAUAAAUAAAUAAAUAAAUAAAUAAAUCUUUAAAAAAAAAAAAGAUGAUCAGCAGCGAUACUGUUGAUUCAGGGAGAUGACCUGGGAACCAGCCAUUCUGAAAGGAAGUGAAAAGUUCUGGGGUAGCCUGCUGCAGGAGGGGUUGUCUGACUGGAGGUGUCCUCUUCUUUAUUGAAGAUGUGUGCCCUGCCCAGGAAGCUGGGGAAGGCAGUAGCCACCAGAGGCAAAGAGAUAAAGGGGGAGGGGGCAGUUCCUGGGCAGCAGCUGGAUGAAACUACUCAGAAGUACCAGGGAAACCAAAGUCAGUCCUGGGAAAGGAAGAGAAGACAAAGGCAGACAGAGGACAGCUGACACUUGCAAAGACAAAGGGGCAGGAUAAUCUUGAGGUGCUGAUGGGUGUGUGCAGGAGGCCUCAGGGAGGUGAGUGUGCUGCAGGUAGACCCAUUCACCAUUUUUCCAGAUCUUCCACGAGGCACCAUCUGCUCAUACGCACUUAGCAUCCUGCUUUCCAGCACCUAUCUGCUGAGCUGAAUUCCCACCUCUGAGAGUGACAUCACACUAACCCAGGGUCUUUAACAACAGUAGCUGAUGUUGGUCCUAUGUAAAACCGAUUAUUUAUCUCAAGUAUCUAUUCCAAGAAUAAUGUUUGAAACAUACGACGAGACUAGGGCUGGGAAGAUGGUAAAGUGGAUAAGAACUCGUGCUGCUCUCAGAGAGGACCCAAGUCUGAAUCCCGGCACCCAGGUCAGGGUUCAUAACCCCUUGUAACUCCAGCUCCAGUGGGAUUCAAUGUCUCUGGCACAUGUGCUCACACACGUGCACCCCCAAACAGUUAAUUAAAAAUGAAAAUAUUAAACACGAAAAGAACCUGGCACUGGUUAGGUAGUGCAGUUUAAGGUUGAGAACUAAAAAUAAAACAACAGAAAUAUUAAUUAGAAGAGACUUUUAGCACCCAAAUGCCACAGCAAGACUGCCAACUCCUGUUUUAUUUUUCCCUGCUUUUGAGAAACUUGAAAUCUCUGGCGCUCCCUUCCUGCAAUGUCCUCUCUGUGCCUGUGACAUUGAGACUUGGAUGACAAGUUUACCUGUUGGACUCAACGCUGCUUGGAUUUAAGGCUGACUCAGAGUCUCCCAGGAGAAGGGAUGGGCCGGAUAAGGGUAACUGUUUCAGUGAAGAAUGUUCACCUCGUCCAGCUCUGCAUCCUAAAGUGUAGCACCCAGUGGGUACUCUCUGCACAUUCUGUGAAUGAAGGAGACCCUAUAAUCCCUCGGCUCCCUCCCAUGGCCUGAUGACCAUUACUGACCUACUAGCCUACUUUUGCACCCGUGGAUUUGUGUACAGUGGAGUAUACUGACCAACGAAAGGAUCCGAUUGUUCAUUCAUGCACACGGCGACACUUUGGAUCACGAGACAUGUUGAAAGACUCCAGAUACAAAAGCCUGCGUGCAUGAGAUUCUACUUCUAGAAAACUCUUAGAAAAAUGCAUCACUUAUCAAAAGGGCCCAAGGGGAAGGAUGGUGCGAGGGACCAUUAGAGGGAUGCGCUGUUCUAAAACGUGAUUGAGCUGGUGGCAGCCUCGUGACACAUACGUUUACAGAAAUGCGUUAAACUGUCUACUGAAAAAGAGAUUUCAAUAUCAUAUAUCAAUAAGACUAUAAAAAGUCAGACGUGUGUAUGGCCCUAA